UGGCUCAGAUGGUAAAGAAUCUGCCUGCAGUGCAGAAGACCCAGGUUCAAUUCCUGG
rnacentral:tRNA from 1 species